rnacentral:rRNA from 1 species
AACGAACGCUGGCGGCAGGCUUAACACAUGCAAGUCGAACGCACCUUUCGGGGUGAGUGGCCGACGGGUGAGUAACGCGUGGGAAUCUACCCUUCUCUACGGGAUAGCUCCGGGAAACUGGAAUUAAUACCGUAUACGUCCUGAGGGAGAAAGAUUUAUCGGGGAAGGAUGAGCCCGCGUUGGAUUAGCUAGUUGGUGGGGUAAAGGCCUACCAAGGCGACGAUCCAUAGCUGGUCUAAGAGGAUGAUCAGCCACUUUGGGACUGAGACACGGCCCAAACUCCUACGGGAGGCAGCAGUGGGGAAUAGUGGACAAUGGGCGCAAGCCUGAUCCAGCCAUGCCGCGUGAGUGAUGAAGGCCCUAGGGUUGUAAAGCUCUUUCAGGGGGGACGAUAAUGACGGUACCCACAGAAGAAGCCCCGGCUAACUUCGUG